AGUGAUACAGUCUCAAAAAAUUUUUUAAAGCUGCUGACUUUCACAGCCUCUGUUAUGGGGUGAUGGCCAGUCCUGGUGUCUGAGUCAUU
rnacentral:snoRNA from 1 species